rnacentral:rRNA from 1 species
AUUGAACGCUGGCGGCAGGCCUAACACAUGCAAGUCGAGCGGAUGAAGGGAGCUUGCUCCUGGAUUCAGCGGCGGACGGGUGAGUAAUGCCUAGGAAUCUGCCUGGUAGUGGGGGAUAACGUCCGGAAACGGGCGCUAAUACCGCAUACGUCCUGAGGGAGAAAGUGGGGGAUCUUCGGACCUCACGCUAUCAGAUGAGCCUAGGUCGGAUUAGCUAGUUGGUGGGGUAAAGGCCUACCAAGGCGACGAUCCGUAACUGGUCUGAGAGGAUGAUCAGUCACAAUGGAACUGAGACACGGUCCAGACUCCUACGGGAGGCAGCAGUUGGGAAUAUUGGGCAAUGGGCGAAAGCCUGAUCCAGCCAUGCCGCGUGUGUGAAGAAGGUCUUCGGAUUGUAAAGCACUUUAAGUUGGGAGGAAGGGCAGUAAGUUAAUACCUUGCUGUUUUGACGUUACCAACAGAAUAAGCACCGGCUAACUUCGUG